AGCUUAAUUUGACUCAACACGGGGAAACUCACCAUGUCCGGACACAUUAAGGAUUGACAGAUUGAGAGCUCUUUCUUGAUUAUGUGGGUGGUGGUGCAUGGCCGUUCUUAGUUGGUGGAGUGAUUUGUCUGCUUAAUUGCGAUAACAAAUAAGACCUUAAUUUGCUAAAUAGCCAGGCCUGCCCCGGCGGGUUGCCGGCUUCUUAGAGGGACUAUCGGCUCAAGCCAAUGGAAGUUUGAGGCAAUAACAGGUCUGUGAUGCCUUGAGAUGCUCUGGGCCGCACGCGCGCUACACUGACAGAGCCAACGAGUCCACUCCCUUGGCCAGAAGGUCUGGGUAAUCUUGUUAAACUCUAUUGUGCUGGGGAUAGAGCAUUGCAAUUAUUGCUCUUUACCGAGGAAUGCCUAGUAAGCGCAAGUCAUCAGCUCGCGUUGAUUAUGUCCCUGCCUUUUGUACACACCACCCGUUGCUAUUGCUAAUUGAAUGGCUCAGUGAGGCCUCUGGACUGGCUUGGGAGGUUGGCAACGACCACCCCAAGCCGGAAAGCUGGUCAAACUUGGUCAUUUAGAGGAUGUAAAAGUUGUAACAAGGUUUCCGUAAGUGAACCUGCGGAAGGAUCAUUA
rnacentral:ncRNA from 1 species